GUUGUCUUUCAGUAAAUGCUAUAGAUAGAGCCUCUGAGGACAACUCAAUAAAUCCAGCCAACAGGAUAGAAUGCACAUUUGACUGUCUCGCCACCAGGUGGCACAUGCACUUAUUUUCAGUGAGGAAUGCCUUCAGCUUCAGCCACCACUGGACUGCUACUGCCUGAGAGACCAGAGCCAGAAAUGCCCAGCUUGAGCUCUUUCCAAAUUCCUGAUCCACAGAAACAGAGAUUGAAAAAUUAUCAUUUUAUGUCACUAAGUUUGGGGUGAUUUUUAAAAUGGAUAGCUGGCUCAUGUUAGUUUGUAAUGAAAUACCUUCAAUCUGAAGAGAAUAAUGAAUAAAUCGAUAUUUUGGGCAUGUA